rnacentral:rRNA from 1 species
UACGUAGGGGGCAAGCGUUGUCCGGAAUUAUUGGGCGUAAAGGGCUCGUAGGCGGUCUGUUGCGUCGGGAGUGAAAACUUACAGCUUAACUGUGAGCGUGCUUCCGAUACGGGCAGACUUGAGGUAUUCAGGGGAGAACGGAAUUCCUGGUGUAGCGGUGAAAUGCGCAGAUAUCAGGAGGAACACCGGUGGCGAAGGCGGUUCUCUGGGAAUAUCCUGACGCUGAGGGGCGAAAGUGUGGGGAGCGAACAGG